AACGAACGCUGGCGGUAGGCCUAACACAUGCAAGUCGAGCGAUCUCUUCGGAGAUAGCGGCGGACGGGUGAGUAACGCGUGGGAACAUACCCAGAGGUACGGAACAACAGUUGGAAACGACUGCUAAUACCGUAUACGCCCUACGGGGGAAAGAAUUUCGCCUUUGGAUUGGCCCGCGUUGGAUUAGAUAGUUGGUGGGGUAAUGGCCUACCAAGUCUACGAUCCAUAGCUGGUUUGAGAGGAUGAUCAGCCACACUGGGACUGAGACACGGCCCAG
rnacentral:rRNA from 1 species